AAAAGAAACUAUCAUCAGAGUAAACAGACAACCUACAGAAUGGGAGAAAAUUUUUGCAAUCUAUCCAUCUGACAAAGGUCUGAUAUCCAGAAUCUACAAGGAAUUUAAUCAAAUUUACAAGAAAAAAACCAACCACAUUGAAAAAGUGGGCCGAGGAUAUGAACAGACGCUUCUCAAAAGAAGACAUUUAUGAGCCGACAAACAUGAAAAAAAGCUCAACAUCAAUGAUCAUUAGAGCAAUGCAAAUCAAAACCACAGUGAGAUACCAUCUCACAUCA
rnacentral:lncRNA from 1 species